rnacentral:rRNA from 1 species
ACGCUCGACACCUACGGGAGGUAGCAGUGAGGGAUAUUGGUCAAUGGGGGAAACCCUGAACCAGCAACGCCGCGUGAGGGAUGACGGUCUUCGGAUUGUAAACCUCUGUCCUCUGUGAAGAUAAUGACGGUAGCAGAGGAGGAAGCUCCGGCUAACUACGUGCCAGCAGCCCGGAAUCUGAGCGGGCUGGCAAGGC